rnacentral:rRNA from 1 species
UACAGGGGGGGCAAGCGUUGUUCGGAAUUACUGGGCGUAAAGGGUUCGUAGGUGGCCACUUAAGUCAGACGUGAAAUCCCUCAGCUUAACUGGGGAACUGCGUCUGAUACUGAGUGGCUUGAGUGCAGGAGAGGAAUGCGGAAUUCCAGGUGUAGCGGUGAAAUGCGUAGAUAUCUGGAGGAACACCGGUGGCGAAGGCGGCAUUCUGGACCAACACUGACGCUGAGGCGCGAAAGCUAGGGGAGCAAACGGG